rnacentral:rRNA from 2 species
UUUCCAGAGAUGGACUGGUGCCUUCGGGAACUGUGAGACAGGUGCUGCAUGGCUGUCGUCAGCUCGUGUUGUGAAAUGUUGGGUUAAGUCCCGCAACGAGCGCAACCCUUAUCCUUUGUUGCCAGCGGUCCGGCCGGGAACUCAAAGGAGACUGCCAGUGAUAAACUGGAGGAAGGUGGGGAUGACGUCAAGUCAUCAUGGCCCUUACGACCAGGGCUACACACGUGCUACAAUGGCGCAUACAAAGAGAAGCGACCUCGCGAGAGCAAGCGGACCUCAUAAAGUGCGUCGUAGUCCGGAUUGGAGUCUGCAACUCGACUCCAUGAAGUCGGAAUCGCUAGUAAUCGUGGAUCAGAAUGCCACGGUGAAUACGUUCCCGGGCCUUGUACACACCGCCCGUCACACCAUGGGAGUGGGUUGCAAAAGAAGUAGGUAGCUUAACCUUCGGGAGGGCGCUUACCACUUUGUGAUUCAUGACUGGGGUGAAGUCGUAACAAGGUAACCGUAGGGGAACCUGC